GCCAGUGGUGAACUCCACAUACGCAUCCUUUGCUGAGGAUACGGUUAACGGAGCGAAAGCGACGUUAAACCGCAAAAGAAGCAGAGGGGGCUUAGUGGUGGGGUGACUGCGUACCUUUUGUAUAAUGGGUCAGCGACUUAUAUUCUGUAGCAAGGUUAACCGAAUAGGGGAGCCGGAGGGAAACCGAGUCUUAAUUGGGCGUUAAGUUGCAGGGUAUAGACCCGAAACCCGGUGAUCUAGCCAUGGGCAGGUUGAAGGUUGGGUAACACUAACUGGAGGACCGAACCGACUAAUGUUGAAAAAUUAGCGGAUGACCUGUGGCUGGGGGUGAAAGGCCAAUCAAACCGGGAGAUAGCUGGUUCUCCCCGAAAGCUAUUUAGGUAGCGCCUCGUGAAUUCAUCUCCGGGGGUAGAGCACUGUUUCGGCUAGGGGGCCAUCCCGGCUUACCAACCCGAUGCAAACUGCGAAUACCGGAGAAUGUUAUCACGGGAGACACACGGCGGGUGCUAACGUCCGUCGUGAAGAGGGAAACAACCCAGACCGCCAGCUAAGGUCCCAAAGUCAUGGUUAAGUGGGAAACGAUGUGGGAAGGCCCAGACAGCCAGGAUGUUGGCUUAGAAGCAGCCAUCAUUUAAAGAAAGCGUAAUAGCUCACUGGUCGAGUCGGCCUGCGCGGAAGAUGUAACGGGGCUAAACCAUGCACCGAAGCUGCGGCAGCGACACUCAGGUGUUGUUGGGUAGGGGAGCGUUCUGUAAGCCUGUGAAGGUGGCCUGUGAGGGUUGCUGGAGGUAUCAGAAGUGCGAAUGCUGACAUAAGUAACGAUAAAGCGGGUGAAAAGCCCGCUCGCCGGAAGACCAAGGGUUCCUGUCCAACGUUAAUCGGGGCAGGGUGAGUCGACCCCUAAGGCGAGGCCGAAAGGCGUAGUCGAUGGGAAACGGGUUAAUAUUCCCGUACUUGGUGUUACUGCGAAGGGGGGACGGAGAAGGCUAUGUUGGCCGGGCGACGGUUGUCCCGGUUUAAGCGUGUAGGUGUGUGUUCCAGGUAAAUCCGGUUCACUUUAACACUGAGGCGUGACGACGAGGCACUACGGUGCUGAAGCAACAAAUGCCCUGCUUCCAGGAAAAGCCUCUAAGCAUCAGGUAACAUCAAAUCGUACCCCAAACCGACACAGGUGGUCAGGUAGAGAAUACCAAGGCG
rnacentral:rRNA from 1 species